rnacentral:rRNA from 1 species
GAUGAACGCUGGCGGCGUGCCUAAUACAUGCAAGUCGAGCGAAUGGAUUAAGAGCUUGCUCUUAUGAAGUUAGCGGCGGACGGGUGAGUAACACGUGGGUAACCUGCCCAUAAGACUGGGAUAACUCCGGGAAACCGGGGCUAAUACCGGAUAACAUUUUGAACCGCGUGGUUCGAAAUUGAAAGGCGGCUUCGGCUGUCACUUAUGGGUGGACCCGCGUCGCAUUAGCUAGUUGGUGAGGUAACGGCUCACCAAGGCAACGAUGCGGAGCCGACCUGAGAGGGUGAUCGGCCAAACUGGGACUGAGACACGGCCCCGACUCCUACGGGAGGCAGCAGUAGGGAAUCUUCCGCAAUGGACGAAAGUCUGACGGAGCAACGCCGCGUGAGUGAUGAAGGCUUUCGGGUCGUAAAACUCUGUUGUUAGGGAAGAACAAGUGCUAGUUGAAUAAGCUGAACCUUGACGGUACCUAGCCAGAAAGCCACGGCUAACUACGUGCCAGCCGCCGCGGUAA